AGAGAGUUGUCCGAGCGGUUUAAGGUACAUGCUUGGAAAGCAUGUUUGCCCUAACAGGCAACGGGGGUUCGAAUCCCCCACUCUCUGCCA
rnacentral:tRNA from 1 species